rnacentral:rRNA from 1 species
UGCGUAGGUGGUGAGGUAAGUCGGAUGUGAAAUCUCCGGGCUCAACCCGGAAAUGGCAUUGGAAACUACCUUGCUGGAGGAUUUGAGGGGGGAUUGGAAUACUUGGUGUAGCAGUGAAAUGCGUAGAUAUCAAGUGGAACACCAGUGGCGAAGGCGAAUCCCUGGAAAAUACCUGACACUGAGGCACGAAAGCUAGGGGGAGCAAACA